ACGCGUGAGCAACAUGCCCGUAUCAGGGGGAUAACCGAUGGAAACGUCGCCUAAUACCCCAUAACAACGAGGGCCGCAUGGCCCAUGUUUGAAAGUUACGGCGGAUACGGAUUGGCUCGCGUGACAUUAGCUAGUUGGCGGGGUAACGGCCCACCAAGGCUACGAUGUCUAGGGGUUCUGAGAGGAAGGUCCCCCACACUGGAACUGAGACACGGUCCAGACUCCUACGGGAGGCAGCAGUGAGGAAUAUUGGUCAAUGGGCGCAAGCCUGAACCAGCCAUGCCGCGUGCAGGAAUGAGGCCCUAUGGGUCGUAAACUGCUUUUGCUGCGGAGCAAUAAGUGCCACGUGUGACACGAUGAGAGUACGCAGCGAAUAAGCAUCGGCUAACUCCGUGCCAGCAGCCGCGGUAAUACGGAGGAUGCGAGCGUUAUCCGGAUUUAUUGGGUUUAAAGGGUGCGUAGGCUAUUCGUCAAGUCAGUGGUGAAAUGCCGGGGCUCAACCCCGGAGCUGCCAUUGAUACUGUCGGGCUUGAAUCCUGCUGCCGUGGGAGGAAUGAGUAGUGUAGCGGUGAAAUGCAUAGAUAUUACU
rnacentral:rRNA from 1 species